GGUUAAGCGACUAAGCGUACACGGUGGAUGCCCUGGCAGUCAGAGGCGAUGAAGGGCGUGCUAAUCUGCGAUAAGCGCCGGUAAGGUGAUAUGAACCGUUAUAACCGGCGAUACCCGAAUGGGGAAACCCAGUGUGAUUCGUCACACUAUCAUUAACUGAAUCCAUAGGUUAAUGAGGCGAACCGGGGGAACUGAAACAUCUAAGUACCCCGAGGAAAAGAAAUCAACCGAGAUUCCCCCAGUAGCGGCGAGCGAACGGGGAGGAGCCCAGAGCCUGAAUCAGCAUGUGUGUUAGUGGAAGCGUCUGGAAAGGCGCGCGAUACAGGGUGACAGCCCCGUACACAAAAGCGCAUAUGCUGUGAGCUCGAUGAGUAGGGCGGGACACGUGGUAUCCUGUCUGAAUAUGGGGGGACCAUCCUCCAAGGCUAAAUACUCCUGACUGACCGAUAGUGAACCAGUACCGUGAGGGAAAGGCGAAAAGAACCCCGGCGAGGGGAGUGAAAAAGAACCUGAAACCGUGUACGUACAAGCAGUGGGAGCCCCACCACUAAGCCAGUGGUGAACUCCACAUACGCAUCCUUUGCUGAGGAUACGGUUAACGGAGCGAAAGCGACGUUCAACCUCAAAAGAAGCAGAGGGGGCUUAGUGGUGGGGUGACUGCGUACCUUUUGUAUAAUGGGUCAGCGACUUAUAUUCUGUAGCAAGGUUAACCGAAUAGGGGAGCCGGAGGGAAACCGAGUCUUAAUUGGGCGUUAAGUUGCAGGGUAUAGACCCGAAACCCGGUGAUCUAGCCAUGGGCAGGUUGAAGGUUGGGUAACACUAACUGGAGGACCGAACCGACUAAUGUUGAAAAAUUAGCGGAUGACCUGUGGCU
rnacentral:rRNA from 1 species